rnacentral:lncRNA from 1 species
AACAGAAUGAAUAACUGAUUCUUGGUGUACUACAUCUCCUUAUGCAUUCAUCUGAGUACAGAAUCUGUGUACGUAGUACCAUGAUUACCUAAAAUAUGUGGCAUGCUGCCCUUGGCCUCUGUUUACCUCAGGCUUGAGAGUGGAUUCUGGGUGCUGGGAUGUCAGCCCUGGAAGUUCGUCCAUUCCCAGAGCCAUACCGCCACCCCCCACCCCCCGUGGACCUCCUCUAUGGCAGACAGCACUGGACACGCUGCCUUCUGCCCAGCUGGUGGGCUCAGCGCUCGCUCCAUUGGCAUCUGGUUGGCCUGUGAGACCAGCUGCUGCAGAUCACAUCAGGUGAUGAGACAUCGGGGUACAGAAAGUUGUUUCUCGUCCAACUACCUCUCCCUGCAAGAUUAGCAAUUUCAGCGAAUGAGGAUUGUUAUGGCUGUGUCCAGAUGUCCCCCAGAGCCUCCUGCAGUCAUAGGUGGGGCUCUUUCAGAGGUGGCUGGAUCUAGGGUGUGUGGCACUAAGUUGGUCCACUGAUUAGUUUGGCAGUUCUGGG